rnacentral:lncRNA from 1 species
GGACCCUACGGAAUCCCCCCAAUCUGUGUGUUGUGCUUUCCUUAACGACUGCCUUGGAACAAGCCGCGGGGAGAAGAGGAGAUCCUAGAGGGACUGAUCCAGCGAGUGAGUGUGUAGGACGGUCGCUCUUCCAGUGCCAGGAGUGGCGGAUGUUCCUCGAACCUGGAAGAGGACUUUGCCGGCGUCCUUUCCUGGCCUCUGCGGGAAUGCAGGGCGCCCCCUCGCUGUCACCGUCACCCACUUUAUACGGCGCCUCCCUGGCUGGACCUACACUCUCCGCCGCUCGGCUCGUUCACACCAGAGGUCUGCGCUAAUCCCGCACCUUUUAGGAGCACUGAGAAGGUGAGCCGUCCUCCGGGUCCACUGACACGUGGGAAAGAAGACGCAGGACUGGAGCAUCCACCCCCGCUGGUGUCCUGGGACGAGGUAUUCCUGAGAGCCAGCCACCUCCGUACGUGGGGACCUCGGGCUUUGCUUCCAGAAACCGCAUGUGUGUCCCCUUACUAAGGCUGGACUAGCUGGAUGUAGGAGCAAAUGCAUCUGUGCCUGGCCAUUGGAACGGCUGCCGGAGGUGGGGCGGUGGAGGGCGGCACAGGCGGUCUCCCGGGUGUGAGGCAGUGUCUGAGCACGCUGUGGUGGGUGAACAGUGCGCGGUGGCCCAGGACAGAGCUGCCCAUGCGUGCGUGACCCUCUUCUGCUAAGGACAAGCUCAGACUGUGAGUGGAUGGCGCAGUCGGCCCGGAUCGUGCGUUUCUUGUCCUGAUGUGAAGGGGCCAGUUCUGCAGAUGCUCUCGGAACCUCUGCACCCCUGGCAGAGAUUAUCCUGCAGCUCAGCUUCCAGU